rnacentral:rRNA from 1 species
CAGCAGCCGCGGUAAUACGAAGGGGGCUAGCGCUGUUCGGAUUUACUGGGCGUAAAGGGUGCGUAGGCGGACUGAUAAGUCAGGGGUGAAAUCCCAAGGCUCAACCUUGGAACUGCCUUUGAUACUGUUAGUCUUGAGUUCGAGAGAGGUGAGUGGAACCGCGAGUGUAGAGGUGAAAUUCGUAGAUAUUCGCAAGAACACCAGUGGCGAAGGCGGCUCACUGGCCCGAAACUGACGCUGAGGCACGAAAGCGUGGGGAGCAAACAGGAUUAGAUACCCGUGUAGUCCCUGUCUCUUAUAC